CAGAUAAGUGCUGGUCGCCAGAAGCAGCAGAUAUCUUAUGUAAACUUACUAAAGGUAUAGUCUUACAAGCACAAGUCGCUGGCUAUAAUAGUCACAAUAUACCAGAAAUAUAUUUAUUCGCUUGCUUAGGACCUAAUAACGUUAUAUUUAUCAAUAAGGAAUUAGUGGCUAGAAAUCUUGCAAAGUGGGUGGAAAUACACGACUGAUUUUAUUAAAACCUACUAUUAUCACCAUAAAAAAAAAAAACAAAAAAAAAACCUAAUGCACGAUUACAUUGUUGAAGCCAUAAAUUUAGAAGAAAAACAAAAAAAAAUUUAUGUAUUCUUAAAGUUUUACCAAUAAGAUAAUGUACUCAUGCUCGGUUCAUGAUUUGAUUUUGAGGCAGCAAUGUUUUGCUUCUUCCAAGCAAAUUUUAAGCAUUUUGUAUAUAGUUGAGAUCGUUUAAUGCUUGAAAAAAAAAAACAAAAAACAACCAGUAAAUGAGUAUGAAAUGAAGACGAGAAUUAUAAUUGAAAAGGAGAAUUUAUUAAAAUUAAAAAUGUACAUAAAAUUACAAUAAAGAAAAAGGAAGAAAUUUCACUGCGCGAUUUAGUUACGUAUUAUUUUAAAUAAAUAUAAAAAAUAUAAAAAAAAAAAAUAAAAAUAAAAAAAAAUAUAUAUAUAAAUUAUUAUAUUACUACUAAAAAGGCAUUUUGAUAUUUUACAUGCUGAACUGAAACAAAUAGAAUUAGUUUAGUAAGUUUACAUACUUCAUUAAUAAAUUACGAGUUCAAAUAGGUAUGUUUAAAUACGACAGCCGACAAAAAGCAAUGAUGUUGCCUUUCUAAUUUGUAAACAGAAUAAUCUAAGAAUAUUUUAUUGAACAAAAUAAUAAUUAUUAUAUAUAAUUUUACAAUUAUCAUCAAUCAAAGUGUUGGCCUGAUACAAAAUAAAAAUUAAAAAAAAAAAAAUAUUCUGCGAAAAAUGUAUGCACAAACAUGAAAUAACAGCAACAACAUAAUUGGAGUUUGAAUAAAAUUUCAUCAUGGAGACUAUGAAAAUAAAAAAAAUAUAAAAAUUGGUAAAACAUAUGCAACACACUGAGAUGCUUAGUUUUAUUUUUGUUUUUUUUUUCUAUUUCUUUUGUUUCAUUAAACUCAAAUGUUAAAAAUUAGCUACUAAGUUAUUCGUAGUUUACACUUAUUUGGUUGUUCGUUUUGCCUCAUUAAUGUUAAAGUUGAUAUGAUCAUCAUCAAAUUUUCUUAAUUAUUUUGUAACUAUCGAAUUCAUAGGAUAUUUUAAGAUCUAACAUCAAAAUGCCUUUUCUUUGUUUUUUUUUUUGUAAGUCAAUUUAUUCUACUUAUUUUGUUACGAUGUCACUCACAUAAUUUAACGUACAGUUUCUUUUUUUUUUAGUUUUUUCUUUAUUUCACGCCUUCUUUUUGUUUGUGUAUGACAAUUUUUACUCUACACUAUUUAUUACAAAAUGGAACACGACAGACCUACAACAAACAAAAACUACUCAAUUUGAUCUUUAAAUAUACAUAUUAUUAUUUUUAUUUUUUUUUUUCGUUCAGUUAUAUUAUUUGCUUUUGAUAUAGAAAUAGUUGAAAUUAUUAAAAUAAAAACAAAAACAAAAAAAAAAAGAAAUAUAUAAAAAUAUUUUACUAAAUUAAUAUUAAUGAUUAGAGUUAUAAAAAAAAUAAAAUUAAAAAAAAUGAAAGAUUAAAAGAUUUAAGAAAGUAAUCACCAUUUAAUAGGCGUUGUUGCGGAUACGGAUCGCGCUUCUGGCAGUGCAUUAUUAAAAAAAAACCAUUUGCUUCGCUGCAAUGAUUUAACAUACAACGUAGAACGACAAAGGGGACACUCUAGGUACUAGACAUAUAAUCGGACGCUAGAAGCUUGCUAGUAAAAAUCAUCAUUCUUAUAAACCAAAAUAUCAGCACAUGAAUGGCUUAAAAAAAAUUACAAUAAUAAUUAUAACUUUAUCAUUAAAUAAAUUAUGUAAAGAAAAAUUCAA